UACGGGGGGGGCAAGCGUUGUUCGGAAUUACUGGGCGUAAAGGGCUCGUAGGUGGCCAACUAAGUCGGUCGUGAAAUCCCUCGGCUUAACCGGGGAACUGCGUCCGAUACUGGUUGGCUUGAGUUUGGGAGAGGGAUGCGGAAUUCCAGGUGUAGCGGUGAAAUGCGUAGAUAUCUGGAGGAACACCGGUGGCGAAGGCGGCAUCCUGGACCAACACUGACGCUGAGGAGCGAAAGCCAGGGGAGCAAACGGG
rnacentral:rRNA from 1 species